rnacentral:rRNA from 1 species
AGGCCCCGCCUGCCCGGUGACUAAAUAGUUUAACGGCCGCGGUAUUAUGCACCGUGCAAAGGUAGCGUAAUCACUUGUCCUUUAAAUAGGGACUAGUAUGAAUGGCGAAACGAGGGUGUAACUGUCUCCCCCCUCCAGUCAAUGAAACUGAUCUCCCCGUGCAGAAGCGGGGAUCCCCACACAAGACGAGAAGACCCUGUGGAGCUUCAGACUUCUGGAGAAUACCUUUCUUCCCACCACUAUAGUGGGAAAACCCAGGUACACCCUCCCAAGACUGUCUUUGGUUGGGGCGACCGCGGAGAAAAGAUUACCCCCCGCGUGGAUGAAGUGAAUAACUUUUUAACCCAGAGCCACAGCUCUGAGUGUCAGAAUAUCUGGCCUUGAAUGAUCCGACUAAUCGAUCAACGAAACAAGUUACCCCAGGGAUAACAGCGCAAUCCUCUUCCAGAGCCCCUAUCGACAAGAGGGUUUACGACCUCGAUGUUGGAUCAGGACAUCCUAAUGGUGCAGCCGCUAUUAAGGGUUCGUUUGUUCAACGAUUAA